GACGAACGCUGGCGGCGUGCCUAAUACAUGCAAGUAGAACGCUGAAGCUUGGUGCUUGCACCGAGCGGAUGAGUUGCGAACGGGUGAGUAACGCGUAGGUAACCUGCCUGGUAGCGGGGGAUAACUAUUGGAAACGAUAGCUAAUACCGCAUAAGAGUAGAUGUUGCAUGACAUUUGCUUAAAAGGUGCAAUCGCAUCACUACCAGAUGGACCUGCGUUGUAUUAGCUAGUUGGUGAGGUAACGGCUCACCAAGGCAACGAUACAUAGCCGACCUGAGAGGGUGAUCGGCCACACUGGGACUGAGACACGGCCCAGACUCCUACGGGAGGCAGCAGUAGGGAAUCUUCGGCAAUGGACGGAAGUCUGACCGAGCAACGCCGCGUGAGUGAAGAAGGUUUUCGGAUCGUAAAGCUCUGUUGUAAGAGAAGAACGAGUGUGAGAGUGGAAAGUUCACACUGUG
rnacentral:rRNA from 1 species